GCCUGGGUGGCUCAGUCGGUUGAGCGUCCGACUUCGGCUCAGGUCAUGAUCUCACAGUUUGUGGGUUCGAGCCCCGCGUCGGGCU
rnacentral:tRNA from 1 species